rnacentral:rRNA from 1 species
GACGAACGCUGGCGGCGUGCUUAACACAUGCAAGUCGAACGGUAAGGCCCUUCGGGGUACACGAGUGGCGAACGGGUGAGUAACACGUGGGUGAUCUGCCCUGCACUUCGGGAUAAGCCUGGGAAACUGGGUCUAAUACCGGAUAGGACCCUGGGAUGCAUGUCCUGGGGUGGAAAGCUUUUGCGGUGUGGGAUGGGCCCGCGGCCUAUCAGCUUGUUGGUGGGGUGAGGGCAUACCAAGGCGACGACGGGUAGCCGGCCUGAGAGGGUGAACGGCCACACUGGGACUGAGAUACGGCCCAGACUCCUACGGGAGGCGGCAGUGGGGAAUAUUGCACAAUGGGCGCAAGCCUGAUGCAGCGACGCCGCGUGAGGGAUGACGGCCUUCGGGUUGUAAACCUCUUUCAGCACCGACGAAGCGCAAGUGACGGUAGGUGCAGAAGAAGGACCGGCCAACUACGUGCCAGCCGCCGCCGUAA